AUUGAACGCUGGCGGCAGGCCUAACACAUGCAAGUCGAGCGAGCGGCGGACGGGUGAGUAAUGUCUGGGAAACUGCCGGAUGGAGGGGGAUAACUACUGGAAAAGGUAGCUAAUACCGCAUACCAUCAGAUGUGCCCAGAUGGGAUUAGCUAGUAGGUGGGGUAACGGCUCACCUAGGCGACGAUCCCUAGCUGGGCUGAGAGGAUGACCAGCCACACUGGAACUGAGACACGGUCCAGACGCCUACGGGAGGCAGAAGUGGGGAAUAUUGCACAAUGGGCGCAAGCCGGACGAAGCCAUGCCGCGUGUGUGAAGAAGGCCUUCGGGUUGUAAAGCACUUUCAGCGGGGAGGCGUUACCCGCAGAAGAAGCAACGGCUAACUCCGUGCCAGCAGCCGCGGUAAUAC
rnacentral:rRNA from 1 species